GCAGUGGUGGUUCAGUAGUAGAAUUCUUGCUUUCCAUGCUUGAUACCUGGGUUCGGUUUCUGGCCAAUGCA
rnacentral:tRNA from 1 species